rnacentral:rRNA from 1 species
GACGAACGCUGGCGGCGUGCCUAAUACAUGCAAGUAGAACGCAGUGGCGAACGGGUGAGUAAAGCGUAGGUAACUGCCUCAUAGCGGGGGAUAACUAUUGGAAACGAUAGCUAAUACCGCAUACUGUAAGCUAGACCUGCGUUGUAUUAACUAGUUGGUUAGGUAAAGGCUCACCAAGGCGACGAUCCAUAGCCGACCUGGGAGGGUGAUCGGCCACACUGGGACUGAGAACCGGCCCCGACUCCUACGGGAGGCAGCAGUAGGGAAUCUUCGGAAAUGGACGGAAGUCUGGCCGAGCCACGCCGCGUGAGUGAAGAAGGUUUUCGGAUCGUAAAGCUCUGUUGUUAGAGAAGCGGUAACUAAACAGAAAGGGACGGCUAACUACGUGCCAGCAGCCGCGGUAAUAC